rnacentral:tRNA from 1 species
GCCCUAAUAGUAUAAAAUAUUACUUUGGUCUUGUAAACCAAAAAUGAAGCCACAACCUUCUUAGAGCA